AUUGAACGCUGGCGGCAUGCCUUACGCAUGCAAGUCGAACGGUAACAGGUCUUCGGAUGCUGACGAGUGGCGAACGGGUGAGUAAUACAUCGGAACGUGCCUAGUAGUGGGGGAUAACUACUCGAAAGAGUGGCUAAUACCGCAUGAGAUCUACGGAUGAAAGCAGGGGAUCGCAAGACCUUGUGCUACUAGAGCGGCCGAUGGCAGAUUAGGUAGUUGGUGGGAUAAAAGCUUACCAAGCCGACGAUCUGUAGCUGGUCUGAGAGGACGAUCAGCCAGUCUGGGACUGGGACACGGCCCAGACUCCUACGGUAGGGAGCAGUGGGGAAUUUUGGACAAUGGGCGCAAGCCUGAUCCAGCAAUGCCGCGUGCAGGAUGAAGGCCUUCGGGUUGUAAACUGCUUUUGUACGGAACGAAAAGCCCCGGGUUAAUACCCUGGGGUCAUGACGGUACCGUAAGAAUAAGCACCGGCUAACUACGUGCCAGCCGCCGCCGUAA
rnacentral:rRNA from 1 species